UCCAGCCUGGGUGACAGAACGAGACUCUGUCUGAAAAAAAAAAAAGGAGGAAUGAUACUACCUGUUAGGAUUAUUGGGGUAUUAAAUGAGAUGAUUUGACAAAGUGCCAUUUAAAGUAUAUAGCAUUAGAUAAAUAUUUUAUCUUUUGUGGACUUUAACAAAUAGUUUAUUGAUGGAAAUUUUUUAAAAAAGCUUUUAAGUUACACAUUUUAAGUUCCUGCUACUGAAAGCAGGAUUAACUAGUCUGUAGAAUAAUAGUAAUCUUUUAAUUUUGUCUCCUUAGCUCAUUACCUAAAGGACUUAUUGUAAAUAAGCUAUUUAAGAUCUUAAGAAAUACUGUAUUUUUUUAAAUGGAAGGCUAAGAAAAACAUAAACAGCCUAAGCAUGUGCAUUAAAGCUUUGUUGACUUAUAAGAUUAUUCAAAAUAUGUUAUUUUAAUUUUGGAAUUAUAUUGUUUACUUUAGGCAGCAGAACUUGCUGAAUUCACUGCCAAGAUUGCACUUCUAGAGGAAGCCAAGAAGAAAAAGGAAGAGGAAGCUACUGAGUGGCAACACAAAGCUUUUGCAGCCCAGGAAGACUUGGAAAAGACCAAAGAAGAGUUAAAAACUGUGAUGUCUGCCCCCCCUCCACCUCCACCACCACCAGUCAUUCCUCCAACAGAAAAUGAACAUGAUGAACACGAUGAGAAUAAUGCUGAAGCUAGUGCUGAAUUAUCAAAUGAAGGGGUAAUGAACCAUAGAAGCGAGGAAGAACGUGUAACCGAAACACAGAAAAAUGAGCGUGUUAAGAAGCAACUUCAGGCAUUAAGUUCAGAAUUAGCCCAAGCCAGAGAUGAAACCAAGAAAACACAAAAUGAUGUUCUUCAUGCUGAGAAUGUUAAAGCAGGCCGUGAUAAGUACAAGACUCUGCGACAGAUUCGACAAGGCAAUACAAAGCAGCGUAUCGAUGAGUUUGAAGCAAUGUGAGAGCUGUUAUUUUGCAUAUAUGUUCUUCAUAAGCUGAACCACCAACAGAGAAAAGCAGGCCUUUGCAGAUAUGAUGGAAUGCAUCCCACCUUGCCAAAGCACUUACACCAGUUUGACUGUGCUAGCUAAAAGACAAAUUUAAGGGGAGCUCUUCAACAUUAAGGCAGUAUGAUAUCAUGCUUGGUUUUCUUUUUUCUUUUGGUCCAGGGAAUGGAGAAUGGUGUUCCAUUGCCUCCUUUCACAUUUUUUUUCUUUUUCUUUUUUUUUUCUGUUGAAGAUUAACACUAAUUAUCACGUGUAUGUGUGGUUUCAGUUCUGUGUACAUUUUAAAGGAUAAUGGUGAACAUUUUAAUGGGUUUCCCUUGCCCUUUCCAUAUUUAACCUGUAUUUCCACAUUCUCUCUCACUCACAUUUUCUCAGUGUGCCCUUCUCUUAUCUGCCGUGUCCAUAGCCAUAAUUCCACCAUCAUACAGAUCAGGCAGUGUUUAAAAUGAUGGUAGGUAGCACAGUGGACAGUCUUUGAUCAUCAUGUAGAAUAUGGCUAUGAAUCAGGAAAGAGAUUAGAACAUUUAAUAAUGUAUGUACAGCUGGUGCUUAGUUUUUUUUUAAUCUAAAUUUAAUUACCUUAUUGGAUAUUUGAUAUUUGGUUAUUUAAUCAUAGUCAUCUUUAACAGCUUACACUGAUUGGUGUUUUAUCUCCUGUAAUCCUUUGAUGGCUUUUUUUGCCUACCAUUUCACAGAGGUUUAGACAGCAGUAGUAGCUCCCUAGGAGAGUUUACUGAUGAAGCAGCCUCUGCAAGAUUUUAAAAGUUUUGUUCUUUUAUAGACUGAUUUAGAAAAACAAAUGAUUAAUAAAAAAAAGAAAAUAUGCAUUUGUUGGUAACUAAUGUUAUUUUUUAAAACCUGGACCUUUCUGGAAGGGCAGCAUAUAAAAACAGUCCCGAGGAGGGGACAACAAUACUACCUCACUACUACAUCUGUGAUGACUGGUUGUUCAAACACAAUGGAGUGUGUAAGGUAUAUGUUUUAUAAUUCAUAACCAUAGCCUCAAUCAUCAAGAAAUACUUUCAAAAUUUCAUUUUCCUUCAGAAUAUCUUAAGAGUGCUAAAUUUUUAACUGCCUUUUUGUCGAGUCAAACUGUGGGAUUCUGAUUUGUAUUAAAAUUGUAAGCUCCUCACUGGUAUACUAUCAUCCUGGAGGGGUGUUGUAUGGCUGAGCAAGAGAGAGAGAGAGAAUGAGAGAGAGACUGUGUGUGUGUGUGUGUACUCUGUGUGUGUAUGAGAGAGAGAGAGAAAUGCUAACCUUGUAGCAUGUGAAGAAUGUCUGUACCUUGAUAUGAUAGUUACAUAAUCAGUAUAUUUGGUUUCUAGAUCACUGUGCUUAUUUUGUUUCAAUCUCUGACUAAAAAUACUUAAAUUUGGUUUGUUAAUUCUUAUUUUAGAAAUUAUAAUUUUAGUUUAUAUUAAUUUCAGUUAUAGCUUACUGAAGAAAUCUUUCCAGUUAGAAGGAGGUUCUAAUAUUCACAUGUUCUAAUACUUUGUUUAUUGUAAAACAGCUAAAUUUGGAGAUACGUAAAGCCUUGUUUUCUCUGUGUGGUUCAGCUACUUUCCAUUUGGUAUUACACAGUCAAAUUUACAUUUAUCUAUUAAAAUUGCCAUUUUAUUAAACAUUUUCAUGCACAGUAGAUUCAAGUUGUGUCUGAAAAUAUCUCUUGUGCUUUUUUGAUUUUGCUGACUUUAAAAGGAUUAAUCUGGGCAGACAUUAUGAAAAAGAAAGGUUGCGUUUAAUAUAUUUUUUGAACUUUGCAGGACAAAACAUAGCUGGUUAACCUUGAAGUGACUGUUGUACCAUGGUUGUGCACAUGCUUCAGAAUCCUAUGGAAGAGAAUAUUCCUACUUGCAGUACAUCAAAGGAAUGGAUGGUGGACCCUACUAUUCAUGUUUUGAGACAUAAAUGUUCACUUUAAAGCAAUUGCAUAAUAGAUAAAAACCUGAACUUUCAUUGGAUUUUUGUUAAUUUUCCUCAUUUUGAAUUAUGUGCACUACCAUAGCUACAUCAGUUUGAUACAGUAUUGAAAAAUUAUCAGUUAUAUUUUGCUGUUUAUGAUCUAUUUGUAGAUUAGGAUUAAAAUGGAUUUAAUCCAUUUUUAAGGCUGUGUGAAUUUUUCUAAACAAGAACCAUUUGCAAUAUGGAUUUCUUAGAGAUUAAACCAAUUAUAACUUAUUAGCAGUCGCGAGCACAUGUUCAUAUAGUCAAUGUAAAAAUACACUAAUGAGUAUUUGGUAAAUCCCAGUAGGCUUUUACCAUUAGCAUAAUUUUGUGUUGUACAAUUAAGUUACAAUUACAUCUCUAAUUUUGGAUAAUAUUCAUUGGUUAACAAUAAAGUGACAAAAGCUCAUGC
rnacentral:sRNA from 1 species